GUGAGUCAUCGAAUCUUUGAACGCACAUUGCGCCCGCCAGUAUUCUGGCGGGCAUGCCUGUUCGAGCGUCAUUUCAACCCUCAAGCCCCCGGGCUUGGUGUUGGGGAUCGGCGAGCCUCUGCGCCCGCCGUCCCCUAAAUUUAGUGGCGGUCACGUUGUAACUUCCUCUGCGUAGUAGCACACUUAGCACUGGGAAACAGCGCGGCCACGCCGUAAAACCCCCAACUUUAGAAUGUUUGACCUCGAAUCAGGUAGGACUACCCGCUGAACUUAAGCAUAUCAAUAAGCGGAGGA
rnacentral:misc_RNA from 1 species